GGAGUCUGGAGCUAUUGUGAAGCGUCACUAUCCAUCUGAAGAACCUGCACUAACUAGUAAAAGCUGGGAGUUUUCACAAGCUGGUGCAAUGAAAAUUACAAAGGCAGCCGAUGUGAGCAUUUCCAACUCUUCAGCAGUUCCACCAAUGGAGAGGAAGCAGGGUUAAUUGCAGCCGUGAUCAUUUUUGCACUCCUCAUCUUAGUGGUGCUGGCAGUUAUUAUCUACUACAUACACAAGAUGCUGAAAAAAAAGCAACAGAG